UACGUAGGGACCAAGCGUUGUUCGGAUUUACUGGGCGUAAAGGGCGCGUAGGCGGCGUGGUAAGUCACUUGUGAAAUCUCUGAGCUUAACUCAGAACGGCCAAGUGAUACUGCUGUGCUAGAGUGCAGAAGGGGCAAUCGGAAUUCUUGGUGUAGCGGUGAAAUGCGUAGAUAUCAAGAGGAACACCCGUGGCGAAGGCGGCCACCUGGGCCGACCCUGACGCUGAGGCGCGAAGGCGUGGGGAGCGAACGGG
rnacentral:rRNA from 1 species